AAACCAAGAUAGAUUGUUGCUUAUAGAAUUAAUAUCAAAUGUUCCGAUAUAUUCCGUUAUGGAUUUGUAUAACCCUUUAUUCUUGUUAUUGUUUCCAAAUAGAACUAAGAAUUUUUCUAAUGGUAUAAUCUUUUUAUCUUCUAUAAAGUCAUUAAGUCUGAAUAAUUUAGGUUGGCACUCCCCCUUCUGGGGAAAUCCGGUAUUACUUAUAUUUAUCUGAGCUGAUAAAUUCUCUGGAAUGGGUGUUAAUAUAGAGGGAUAAACACAAAGUUCAUAUUCACUAUUAAUUCUAUGAAACGUUUUUAAUGUAGGGUGGGCUGUUACCUCUGCUUUGGUCAUAAAAGGAAAUUUCUUUUCAUCUUUCCAGAUCAAAGAAUCUAAUCUGAGAAUCUCUUCUCCUUUUUCUGCAUCAAUAAAGGAUUUGGAGGAGUCACUGUUGUGCCAUGUUAAUACUCUAGAAAGUUGCAUAGCAAAAUAAUACGUUUUCAAACAUGGUACAAAACCCGCUUGGUCAAAAUGGAUUAGGUCGGCAAAGGAGCCCAAAGAAAUCAACAAACCUCUUAUCGUGCACUUAUGUGCUUCCCAUCUGUUAUGUAAAGAAGUAUCAUUCACAUUAUUUUCUAAGAAGAAUUGUUUGAGUCUCUUGGUGAUUUUUUCUUUAAAGGGUUCUUGGCUAAUCAGAUUGUCAUUUAUUUUCCAGUUAAAAUGAGGUUUCAGCAAAUUGGGAAGUUUAAAUAUCAAGUUCACUGGGCAAUGGUCAGAUAAAAGAGAGUUUUCUAUUGACACACUUUUAACGAGUUCUAGGAAUCUGUGUUCCAGAAAAAUAUAAUCUAUUCUUGAAUAGCUUUUAUGAGCACAGGAAUAGUGUGUAUAGUCUCUCUCAUCUGCAUGGUAAGCUCUCCAAGUAUCAGCAAAUAAGUUGUCAUGUAAAAGUUGAUUAAUACCUUUGAUCAGUGAACAUGGUAAAUUUGAUUUUUUGGAUGAAGUGUCCAUUAAGGGGUUAAGUGGGAUGUUAAAGUCACCUCCCAAAAUUACUAUCCCUUCUUGAAACGAUUUAAGCUU